rnacentral:rRNA from 1 species
GACGUAGGGCGCGAGCGUUUGUCCGGAUUUAUUGGGCGUAAAGAGCUCGUAGGCGGCUUGUCGCGUACGAACUGUGAAAUCCCGUGGCUCAACUGCGGGUCUGCAGUUCGAUACGGGCAGGCGUAGAGUUCGGUAGGGGAGACUGGAAUUCCUGGAUGUAGCGGUGAAAUGCGCAGAUAUCAGGAGGAACACCGGUGGCGAAGGCGGGUCUCUGGGCCGAUAACUGACGCUGGAGGAGCGAAAGCGUGGGGAGCGAACAGG